UACAGAGGUCUCAAGCGUUGGUCGGAUUCAUUGGGCGUAAAGGGUGCGUAGGUGGCGCCGUAAGUCGGGUGUGAAAUUUCGGAGCUUAACUCCGAAACUGCAUUCGAUACUGCGGUGCUUGAGGACUGGAGAGGAGACUGGAAUUCAUGGUGUAGCAGUGAAAUGCGUAGAGAUCAUGAGGGAGACCAGUGGCGAAGGCGGGUCUCUGGACAGUUCCUGACACUGAGGCACGAAGGCCAGGGGAGCAAACGGG
rnacentral:rRNA from 1 species